rnacentral:misc_RNA from 1 species
GUGAAUCAUCGAAUUUUUGAACGCAAAUUGCACUCUCUUCGGAGAGUAUGCCUGUUUGAGGGUCAGCCUAAAAAAAAUCGACAUAGUUGCUGUUACGCGGUGACUUUCGUCGGAGAUUGGGUUAUCUUAAACCUUUUUUUUUUUUUUGGUUUAAGCGACUUAAAAUUUUUUUUCCCGUUUCCUUGAACGUUUUUAAGUUUUUUUUUUUUUUUCCUUUUAAGUUUUUUGGU